rnacentral:rRNA from 1 species
CCUACGGGUGGCAGCAGUGAGGAAUAUUGGUCAAUGGGCGGGAGCCUGAACCAGCCAAGCCGCGUGAGGGAUGAAGGCGCAGAGCGUCGCAGACCUCUUUUGCCGGGGGACAAAAGGCCGGACUCGUCCGGUCCUGUGGGUACCCGGAGAAUAAGCAUCGGCUAACUCCGUGCCAGCAGCCGCGGUAAUACGGAGGAUCCGAGCGUUAUCCGGAUUCAUUGGGUUUAAAGGGUGCGCAGGGGGGCCUUUAAGCCGGUGGUGAAAUGGGGGGGCUCAACCCCGCCGUGCCGUCGGAACUGGGGGCCUUGAGUGCGGCGGAGGCAUGCGGAAUGCGCGGUGUAGCGGUGAAAUGCAUAGAUAUCGCGCAGAACCCCGAUUGCGAAGGCAGCGUGCCGUGCCGCCACUGACGCUGAGGCACGAAAGCGCGGGGAUCGAACAGGAUUAGAUACCCUUGUAGUC